CUUUAUUCUGAUACAGAAGAGCCUGUCAAACCUGGACUGACCAGCUCCUCAACCAACAAUCCUGCAGGGCAGCGACCCCUGGUCUGUCACGCAGUGAAGGUGUCAACAAAGACUUAAGCCAUCCGUUCUGCGACAAAAUAUGGGUGAUGAGAGAUAGGUGUCAUUUUGUUUCCCCCUCUUCUCUUAAUCCCUAUGCUGACAUCUUUGGAGAUGAUUGAUUCACCCCGUCUGGCCAGAGAGGAGUGGAGAGGAGAGCGGAGCUGGAUACUCCCUGGGGCUGGAGCUUCCUGCCGCCCUGCCAUGGCACCACCACAGUGUCACUUCACCAGUGAUGGAGCCGACCCCGCCCCCAGCCCCCCAUCUCUUGUCUCCAGCAAGCUGCUGCAAUCAGCACAGGCUCUGAUUGGACUUGGGCAGGACAGAUUGGGAAGCCGUGAUGGCGGCACAGAAGUUGAGGGAGAAGCUAUUUAUCCCAGACGGAUCAGGAGGUGUGUGACGGAGGUGUGGACGGUUGCUGCAGGUCAGUGACGUUGGCAGGCGCCAGGCAGGCCGGCCCACAUGGCUCGGGGACUGUGGGACUACAGACAGAUGGCACCUGGUGGGUGACAAACAAUUAACAAACCAACAAGAAUAGCUGGAUCGGCAGUAUACCCACAAGCACAGGAGAUAGCAAGAGAGCGGGUGCAUCUGUGCUCUGAACACUUUCACUCUUUACUUUUCCUCUUCCCGAGUCUUGUUUUGUAUAACAGUUGCAAUUUACCCAUGUGUCUUUUUCACAAAAACACUCUUGUUGUCGUGUCGCUAUAGAACUGUCUAAAUAAAGCAGUGUUGAGCAUAUGCAGUGAGCAUAUGUUUCUGUUUAUUUCAGUGCAGUUUUGAGACACGCAGUGGGGUUAUUUAAAUGUAAAAUACAAUGAACCAACACAUUUGAUAUCUAC